GUGCGGGAGGGAGGGACAGAGCCCUGAGACAGCCAGGCUGCGGCCCCUCGGAGCUCUCCGGCUUCACAGGGACCCUCUGUCCAGCCAGGCGGCAGCAGUGCAGAUGCUCCUGGCGUCCCCCCCGUAGCUGCUCCGUGUCCCCCUACAGGGGGUGGGGGGACAGUUCAGUGAGCUUCAGAGCCUGUUGGCCUGGGUGGGACACGGUGCACGUGUGACCCCUGCAGGAAGGGACGGCGUCCGAGGUCUGCCCGCGCCGUGCUGGGCCCUGCCUUGCGUGGAAGUGUGGACCAGUCUCUCGUUACUUGCAGAAUUCCUCGUCAGACUACUUGCGGCAGCCCUUCGGCAGGGGGGUCCCCCUUGGGAGGGGGCCUGUCGUGGUCGGAGGUCCGAUCCACAGCAGGAUCAUCGCCAGAGCGGCCCUCACCUCCGGGUCACCGCUGGCCCUGCGGCCAGCCGGCAGCGCGCACGGAGAGCACGGCGGCCCGGGCACCUGCCUGCGCCUCCCUCUCGGCCUCCCCGAGAGCAAUUCGUGCUGCUGCGGUCCCCUGGCGGGUCCCUGGGGAGGCUCCCCUCGUCCCCACACGUAUGCAAACCUUAGAGUUCCUGUGUCCCAUCGCUUUUGCCAGCUCCUCAAAGGCACUCCCCCCUGAACUUACAAUCUGCCGUAACCCCUGAGGGGCCUCCGCUUGAGGCCGCAGCAGCCGUCAGGAGGGGAAGCGGGGCUCGGUGACCUUCACCAAGACUGCCCGCAGCUUGGCCACCCUUUGGAGGACAGCGUGCCUCGGGCGUGGGGUGGCCCUCCCACGUCUGGCUAUUCGAGCUUGGACAAGGUGCUUACCUCUGUCAGCUUCCAUUUCCUCAUCUCAAGAAAAUGUCUAAACAUGGGGUUCUACCGGUGUUUCCCUGGCAGGACGGCUGGGAGGAAUAAAGGAGUGAGCAGUGCCUGGCGGCAGCCUUCUAUACACGGACCAUUCAGAAAGCCUGUGGGCAUCUGUUGGAAAGGCUGCUUUACACUCAUCUCUGCGAGCCUUUGGGACACAGUGCAUUGUACCCGAGGGGCCCCAGAGUGACCCUCAGGACUGCGGGAGGGGACGCUGAGCCCCACAGGCCCGAGGGCGUCAGGAUCGCUGUUUAGGAGCUUCCGCGGGAAGCGGUGCCAAGGGUGUCCUGCUGGAAAUGGCAGCGAUGACAGGGCUUUGGGGCGGCCUCUCAGGUCCUGGGGCGUCAGUGGCUGGCGUCCAGUCAGGAACUGGGCUGGGAGAUGACGGGCCCCGUGUGGCAGUGUCUACAGAGGACCCGUGGGGGUCUGGGAGAAGGACCCGCACCGGAGUCGGGGUGGAGCAGGGCGAAGAGACAGCAGCUCCUGUUUGCAGAUCCUUCAUCUUCUCUCUCCCCGACUCGUGUGACCCGGGAAGAUGGGGACUUCGCUCUGUUCUUCUCUUCCAGUGGUAAUUAAGCCAUCUCUUGACAUAUGAACUAGCCGUGAAAACAUCUGCAAGGUCAUUUAAAAUCACGGUCUGCUUCUACAAAGCCGCUUUAAGCCUGUCGUUGCACCUGCAGUGCUGGAUUGGGGGUACGGGACACGCACAGGAGUCGCGGCCCACGUGGGACUGUCCGCGUUAAAGAGCGCCGUCCUCAGUGGCCUUCUCGCCAUCCUUAAUUUAGGCACUUUUCUUUCAAGUGAAUUAUUUAAGGAACAGCUUACAGCGAGAUGCUUUUGUGGGGUGAGGAAGCACAUCACGCCACCUACCUCUCAUGGAGACUGUCUAGUGCUUGUGUUUAACGUGUCAUGGGGUGCGUGGAGGUGAGCAGGGGUGCAGUCACACAGAAGGGUUCCACCCUGAGAAAGCACGCUCACCUGUGGGUAAUGUGGGUGGCAAGGCCCCAGCGAGGCACACCUGCCCAGGUGACGGCAGCGGUGCCUCCACAGGGCCGCUCGGACCACUGCUUUUCUGUCCUCCACCCGCAUUUCUUUCACUCCACCAGGACUGCAGCCACCUAACUCCAUUUCUCCAUUCCCGGAAGCAUCUGCUGGCCUGGGGUUUCUAAGAAAGCGUUCAUCUGCACACACGUUCCGAGCACAGGAUAAAUAAGACUGACAGCUGCUGCUUCUCCCUGCCCUAUGGGAAGACACUAAGUACAUUUCAUACAUCUAAAAACCUGAGCUUUGCAAGAAAAAGGGGUUGUUACAAGAAGGAACCAAGUAUUAAGUUUUGCUUUCAAAGAGGAGGACAUGAUGAUGGUGAUGGUUGGCGAUAUCAGAGAGGUGUUCCUUGUGCCGCCUGGCAGGCAGUGUAGCAGUUCUCAGUGUGGCCCAGGCCAGCAACAUGCCUGGGCAUCCCGGGGACCUUUUCAGGGUCCACUUUGGUAAUUACCCCGACACUGCACUGUUCACUCUACCGUGAGUGCACAGCGGAGUCAUGAGGCUGUGGGCGUGCGAUCGCACAGGGAUGGAGCACAGACCCCGCCACUCAUCUCUGACCUGUUUUAGAAAAUAUUAUCUUCAUUAAAUGUAUUAUUAACCCCUUUUUU